UGUUUAUUCCGCUGCGAAUGUUUCGUUCGAUGAGAGAAGGCGUCCAUCUCUGGUUGAUUUCGAACCAGUUGGUUGGCCUGGUUGGGGGGCAGCGAUGGAAGAUCUGUGUUCACUGUUCUACAUGCGUGGGGGGCCGUCGAUUUUCGUUUGGGGAGGAUCGCUGCAUAUCCAGCCGCCCUUUUGGUCUUCAUCUCAUUGGUUUUCCUCUCAGAUGUUGCGUGCGAGGGUUGCCGUUCCAGCUGCGCUUCAUCCUUCUUCUCAUCGCAAGGGUUUAGCUAAAAGGGAUUUCUAGGUUUCGUUAAAAAAGGGAGGAAGAUUGAAGGAAAAAGAACUGGAGUAAUCAAUAUAGGAACCCCAGUUGCUCAUCAAUGUGAUUGGUGUAUACUAUGGUACUCCACAAGUGACAUCUGGAGGAAUUCCAUUAAAAUUCUUUGCCUCAGUUCGGCUUGAAAUAUGUUCUACAUGGAAGAUAAAGUCUGUAAUGGAGAUGGAAGAAAUUGGGGUUCGGGUUCGUGUAAGAGUGCAAAAGAGUAAGUUUUUGCAAGAUGUUAACCAUGUACGAGAGAGUCAAGAAGAGGCUGUGAGUAGAAGUAGGUUCUUUGCAGGCUAGACAAGUUUUUGCAAGAUGGUAGUAGUGUAUGAGAGAGUCAAGAGAAGGCUGUGAGUAGAAGGCGGUUCUUUGCUGGCUAGACAAGAGUUAAAACCCCUGCAGAAGACAAAAAAGAACAUAAACCACUUCUACAAUAGAGCCAGCAAGAGAUAGAUCCACUUUCAAUAGACAUCAAGGCAGAAAAAUCCCCUUCCCCCACAAAUAGAAUAUAUGUAAAGACAAAACUGCUGAUAUUUUGAUUGUUGCUUGGUUUAUUAAAAUAUUGAUCAUAUUUUAAUAAACAUGACAAGCAACGUAUAAAACAUGUUAUUAGUCUUGAUUUUGUAACUUAAAUUUGCUCAUAUUUUCACAACUUUGUACACAUUUUAUAUGAUUUCAUAACCUGCAGCAUCGCGAUUCUUACCA